ACUGAUUCUCAGGGCGGGGUGAAAGUCCCCACCGGUGGUAAUGGGUCGCGGCUCUAGUCCACGAGCGCUGUCGUGCAAGCGGCAGGUCAGCAGAUCCGGUGCGAUUCCGGAACCGACGGUCAUAGUCCGGAUGAAAGAGAAAAACC
rnacentral:ncRNA from 2 species